CGCUGCAGCUCCCCCGCGGGAGCCGCGCCGAGCGCCCUGCAGGCGCAGCCGGAGCUGCCCGGCUCCGUCUUCCCCAGCCUGAGCCCCGCUCCAGGGCAGCCACCAUAGGAGGGGGACAGAGGAGGGCAGAUGAAGUUAUCAAAAUGUAGUGACCCAACAUCCUGCAGUUCUGGCACAUCAGUCAUACCGAACCUGCGGCAUGAGUUCCAAACACGU